rnacentral:rRNA from 1 species
UACGUAGGGGGCGAGCGUUGUCCGGAGUUACUGGGCGUAAAGCGCUUGUAGGCGGUCCACCAAGUUUGGGGUGACAGUUGUCGACUUAAUCGGCAAAGUGCCUCAAAGACUGGCGGACUUGAGGGCCACAGAGGGACAUGGAACUCCAGGUGUAGUGGUGAAAUGCGUAGAUAUCGGGAGGAACACCAGAGGCGAAAGCGGCGACCUGGACAGGAACUGACACUCAACUACGAAAGCGUGGGGAGCAAACAGG